AGAUGAAGAAGGUGAAGGAAGAAAGUGAGGAAUAAGAAGAAGAAGAAGAAAAAAGAAAAAAAAGAAGAGAAAAAAGAUAAAGAAAAUAAAAGAAAAAAAAAAGGUCAAAAAAAUAUAGAAAUCGAGGCAGCCAAUCUACCCGUGGGUAGCGGAUAUCCGCGAAAAUCCGAACCCAUUAGGGUGGGUUUGGAUACCAUUUGAUAUCCACAGAUAGUUUCGUGGGUGCAAUUCACUAUCCAUUUAGUUCGUGGGUAUGGGUUUGGAUACUUACUAUCCAUACCCGCGAAACCCGUUUACC
rnacentral:lncRNA from 1 species